GACGAACGCUGGCGGCGUGCUAACACAUGCAAGUCGAACGGAAAGGCCCUGCUUUUGUGGGGUGCUCGAGUGGCGAACGGGUGAGUAACACGUGAGUAACCUGCCCUUGACUUUGGGAUAACUUCAGGCAACUGGGGCUAAUACCGGAUAGGAGCUCCUGCUGCAUGGUGGGGGGUGGAAAGUUUCGGCGGUUGGGGAUGGACUCGCGGCUUAUCAGCUUGUUGGUGGGGUAGUGGCUUACCACGGCUUUGACGGGUAGCCGGCCUGAGAGGGUAACCGGCAACAUGGGGACUGAGAUAGGGCCCAGACUCUGACGGGAGGCAGCAGUGGGGAAUAUUGCACAAUGGGCGGAUGCCGGAUGAAGCAACGCCGCGUGCGGGAUGACGGCCUUCGGGUUGUAAACCGCUUUCGCCUGUGACGAAGCGGGAGUGACGGUAAUGGGUAAAGAAGCACCGGCUAACUACGUG
rnacentral:rRNA from 1 species